CACGAUAAGCAACUUAAGUGAUAUUCAUGCCCUGGCCUAAUUAUUAUGCCUUUUUGAAAAUAACAAAGCUAGACUAAUUACUUCAAGUUACAAGAAGAGCUUGGCGGCAUGUUCGACUCGACGAUGUCUAAGCACCGAAUGCUCUAAAAGAGAUAGCUGGUAUCGCGUGCAAAAUGGAGGUGGUUGUAAGUGCGGAGUAUAGGUGAUGAGAAUGAGCUUGACAUGUGACAUCCCGGUAGCGGAAACACCACGGAGAUACAACUACUCUGACGAUCUACUUUCCAGGAAGUCACCCAUCAUAAAAAUUUAACUCUCUUAAUCUUUUGAGUCUAGGCACCACCUAAAAUAGUAUAAUCAUGUUAAAAAGCUUAGCACUAUUAUAUCUUUUAUAUAUGUAUAUAUGUAUAUAGAAUUGAGCUCCUAUGCUUUUAAAAGUACCAAGUCAUUGGUACUAGUAAGUUUUCGGCCCUUGGAUUAAGGAAUGUGCGGUUAUGAUGUUGUGGGCCCCCUAGGGUUGAGUGGGUGGUUGGUUGAAUAGUAUAAUCUAACGGUUGAAAAUGAUCAAAGACGUAGAUCUAACGGUAAAAAACUUACAAGUACCAAAUGUUUGUGCUUUUACAAGCACCAUAGCCGGACUCUAUAGAAUUGAGCUCCUAUGCUUUUAAAAGUACCAAGUCAUUGGUACUAGUAAGUUUUCGGCCCUUGGAUUAAGGAAUGUGCGGUUAUGAUGUUGUGGGCCCCCUAGGGUUGAGUGGGUGGUUGGUUGAAUAGUAUAAUCUAACGGUUGAAAAUGAUCAAAGACGUAGAUCUAACGGUAAAAAACUUACAAGUACCAAAUGUUUGUGCUUUUACAAGCACCAUAGCCGGACUCUAUAUAUAUAUAUAUAUAUAUAUAACAAUUUCAAAUCUUAGGAGUAUCACAUUCCUCAGUCCUUUAAGCCCUGACGUUCUCAUAAGGUUGAAGCAUACUCACAAGCACGCCUUAAUUAGCUGACCUUAUAGAGAGUCGCGUUCCACCGACAAUGGUCGUCAGCCAGCUGAGCUGUAUGUGGUCUAUUCGCUAUAUGAUCUUGACUUGGUCAAGACUUAUCUCAUUCUUCUGACUAGUAAUUGACUCUGAUAUUAAUUGACGCCCCACUUUUCAGAAAAUCACCCAUUUUAGAACUACUCUAGUUUUAUCACACUUAACUCUCUUAACCUUGUGAGCCAAACUAUCUCCUAGAAUGCUAUAGUCAGAUUAAAAGAUUUAGUCCUAUUAUUUCUUAUAUAUAUAUAUAACUAUUUCAAAUUCUAGGAGUGUCGCAUGACGUGAUCGGCGCGUAUCCGAGAGAAAAAGGUUUAGACGUAGAGUGAAACCAAAUUGAAAAUAUAGGUAAAGUUUGGGGACUAAGAGUGCAAUU
rnacentral:lncRNA from 1 species